AGGGCUAUAGCUCAGUUGAUAGAGAGUGCUUGCCUUGCAUGCACAAGACCCUGGGUUCAAUCCCCAGCAUCACCA
rnacentral:tRNA from 1 species